UUUGAAGGCAAAGCCACCAGCUUUCCUCUUGGCCUUUUCAUGAAUUCAGUCACGCCGGGCCGUCAAAACGUGUUAAGCGCCGACUGUAUGCAAGGUAGAAAGAGACAAGUGGGGUGUGCGGAAACAGAACCGCCCGGGGAACGGGGAGUCUGGUGCUGAGAAGACCGGUGUCCCCCAGGUCGUGGGGCAAACAGCCAGCGAGAGACGCGAGAACCCACCCGACGCACCACGGAGGGGACGUGAUUCUAGCUGCUUCCUCACGGGGCUGCUGUCCAACAGAGGUGAGAUGAGCCUCGGGAAGGCCUCAGCCAGGGCCCUGCACCCCGAGCGCCCCGCAGCGGUUCUCGAGGACGAAACCUCCAAUCUGCAGCCCCGGAGCUUCAGGGUGAAGAUGCUACUGUUUUUAAUUUGGCCACAGACGAAGCCUGUUCCUUCUCGUCAUCUUCCCCUGAAGGAGUUGGUGGCGACAGAUCAGCCUGAAAAUCUGCCAGGCAACAGGUUUUUUCCUCUCUGGAAGUACAGGAGGCAGGGGAUGGGAAGUCACGGCGCCUGUGUACGAAGGUGACCAACGGCCCCUGCUUGCCUGGAGCCGUCCAGUUGAGCAUCGGAAGUCCCACAGCCUGGAAAACCUGGCCAGGCGGGCAGUGGGUCCCUGCACCUUGUAUCGCACUAGGUGCCGUCUGCCCCGGAUAUGGGAGCACCACUCGCCGUCCUGAGUCUCGCCGAAGGAGGAGGGGUUGGAGGAGUCUGACUCAGAGAAGCAGACAAAGUGCGGAGUCCGUGCGAUUGGCGAGCCCGGGGGCCUGACGCCUUCAGAGGGGGCAGCCCUUGCUGGGGGCUUUCAGGGCCACGGCUAGAUUCCUUCCAACGCGCUGCCCUCCUUCCUUCCCAUAAACUUCAGCCAUCUCCUAAAACAGGGUGGGGGACGGUCAUGAAGAGACAGACCCAAGAACUGAGCAUCCUUAGGGUAGAAAUAAAGCUGGUGAUGAUAUGAACGAAGGGUCUAGG
rnacentral:lncRNA from 1 species